AACCGCUCCACUCCCUCUCUCGGUCUCGUCGUUGCGUUUCCAACGCAUCUCGCCUUGUCUCCGAGACAAGAGGGAGACGCUUCGGAAGGGUCAUUUUAUCGGCAUGCCAUGGCUGAUCAAGUUAAUCACCCAAUCGUAAUGCAGAAAGUUGCCAGCCCAUUCCCCCUCGGGUCCAGAUUUUCUCGAGGUCCACAAGCUUUGAACUGCAGCCUGUGUAGCCAUCUUUGUAUGAGAGACAGCUUUGCCUGAACGAUUAAGGAUGAAGGUGCUUUGUCUCUAUGGAGAGGGAACACAGCUAAUGUCAUUCGUUAUUUUGCCGCUCAGGCUCUGAACUUUACCUUGAAGGAUUCCUUCAAAAGGAUGUUUAAUUUUAAGAAAGACAAAGAUGGACACUGGAAAUGGUUUGCUGGCAAUCUAGCUUCAGGUGGUGCUGCUGGUGCUCGUUCAGUGGUUUUCGUGUACUCUGUGGACUAUGCUCGUACGCAUUUGGCAAAUGAUGCAAAGGCAGCGAAGAAGGGCGGGGAACGGCAAUUCAGUGGUCUUGGUGAUGUUUACCGGAAGACCCUGCAGUUGGGUUUGGCAUUGCUGGACUUUAGAAAGGAUUUAAUAUUUCAUGCGUUGGGAUUAUGGUCUAUCGUGGUCUUUACUUUGGGAUGUAUGACUCUUCGAAGCCAGUAGUCCUCGCUGGAAAUCUACAGCCCUGAUUGCAGGAUAUUGUUGUGGUUGAUCACCAACGGAGCUAGCCUUGUAUCUUUAUCCUAUUGACACGGGAAGGAGAAGAAUGAUUAUCCUAUUGACACGGGAAGGAGAAGAAUGAUGAUGGUUUCGGAGAGAUUUAAGAGAAAUGGUUUCGCAGAGAAAUAUCUUGUACUCUGAGGAUCUUUACUA